rnacentral:lncRNA from 1 species
GUCCUUUCAGUUUUGCACAUGGAAGAAGAAGGUCGUUUGCAAAUAGAUGCGAGGUUAUCAUAAUGACUAUUUGUUUUGUGACCUGCUACAAUUUAAUCCUGGAGUGUUGAGGUGUUUAUUUGUGUGUUACUGGAAGGUGUACACUUAAACGAGAGGUAAAAGAGCAGGUCGAUAUCCGAAGACAACGUCAAAAACCCAAGGAGUUCCGCAACAAAGUCCAGAUGGUACAGCCACACCGCAACGCUACCCAGCCGUUUCAGCCCCGCAACCGGUGAAUCUGAACCCGCAACAACUUGUGGUUGUGGUGAGCCUUGUUGCAGAACACCAUUGUUCCGUGUUUGCGCAGCGAAGGGGCAUUUUGGCUGAUGAUUCGCUGCACUGUCAGACAGUGUUGAAUAAAAUGAAUCACUAGUAGCUACCAAUCAAUAUCGUUCUAGGUACUCGUCACUUGGACCUCGUGGAAUUUUCAGAUAGCCAAAACCGGCAUCUCAAAGAGGGUCACUUAAACCUCCAUUCCCUCACCAAAACCCUUAUUGACUUAGCAGUAUUACAAGUCUAUCUUUCUUUAUAUCCAAAUAAAUAAGUGGCAGCUGAAUUUUUAGAGGGUUCUAACAAAGGGUUUCGAUUACAAAACCAGCGCCCUAGAGUCCAUACUUCAGUCAAACUUUAAUUUCCGUUAGGCAAAACUCUGCUGUAGCUAAUGAGAAAGUUACUAGUAUGUAGGAAGAGCAGUUAAGCAGAAUUGCGGUUCCUUUUAAAGAAAUGCCUGUUCCAAAUUUCAGGCAAUCCGCGAUCAGUCUUGUGGCCAAAAAGAUGGUAGCUCGAGGAUUAUACACCAUCUUUCCUUCCCGAAGGGAACCCCGCAGGGUUCAAGUUUGAAUGAUUUUAUUGAUACGUCUUCUUCCUCAGUUCAGUACACUUCUUUAGACAGAGUGACGGAGCUAUUGUUUCAUUAGUGCAAUAUUGCGAAAUGGCUAAAGUUGGCAUCAAAUCUGCCUUUCGCCUUUUGAGGUUCAUAAUUAUGAUUUUGAAAUUAUUAGCCUUCAAAUUAGGAGGGGAUUAUUUUACUGACAAGACGUUACCUAUGAGUGUGCAAUCUUUUGCUGCCAUUGGGAAAAGUUUGCUAAUUUAUUAUAAUAGCUGGUCCGGUACAAGAGGAAAUCCGAAAGGCUGUUUUAUUACUUGGAUAAUUAUGUGUGUUUGGCUCGCUCUAAUUCAGGGAAUGUGUGACCAAUUUGUUCUGUUUUAUAGAUAAAUGCCUUAACAUACCCGUAGCAAAAAAAAAAAAAAAAAAUUGCAAGCCUAAGUUGAUCUUUUAAUUUCUGUAACAGAGCCAUUCCCUUUCUAGACUAUUUAGUAGUGGUUUCUAUGCGAUCGUGUCAGCUUUACUUGCAUGCACAGACGACUUGCACCUUACUGCACUUUUAGCCCAUCUUUUAAUCAAGAAUGUAGCUCGUCAUACAACAUGUCUGUAUAUCUCGGACAUUUCUUCUAUUGUAAAAUAAAUAGUCUUGAAUAUCUUACUUAAAGAUUUAUGUUACGUUGAAUGCUUAUCAGUUUUGAUAGGUUGCAUCGGACAAUUGACAUCAGGCAACCUAUAACGCUUGAUUUACUUCGUAAAUUUAUACAGGUGACAAAUACUGUUUGCUCUUCUAUAUUUUAGGCAUUACAGUUUUCAGCAGUAAUUUCCCUGACCAUUUUGAUUUUUAAGGAUAUGUGAGCUUGUACACACGAACUCAAACUCCUCGAAUAUAAGUGCUAAAGGUCACGAAUUAUGUGAGGGAGACGUUAGUAUUGUAAGUAUUGGUGUACUUCGCAUAAUUCUUCAUUCAUCAAAGGACGAUCAGAAAAAAGGCGAAGGAGUAGCUAUUUAUUUACAACCUUACACAUUGUUCUACUUGACCCCUGGAUUUAAUAGAGAGAUAUAUGGUUGUUCGAUCAUCUAGUGCUUCAAACUAGUUAUUUGUUUGUUUAUUUAAACGGUCUACCCGUCAUACGCUGUCAGUUUAGUGUGUUCUAAAGAAAUCUUUGACUGCCAUUCCAUAUAAACCACAUUUAUUUAGAGUAGGUGCUGCAACAGCAGCAUGACUGCUUACGAUAUUACAAGAAUGGGGCGUUGUGCCCCGGAUUCAAGUGCACUUAAAUCUUACAUUAGAAUCCUCUCACGUCAGCUGUUGUCACUCAGAUCUUAAGCCUAUAAGCAGUUUCUUUGUACCUGCCAUAUGUUGCCCUUUUUUGUUGACAAUUGUUUUCAGCUUUUCAGUGCGUCCUACCCAUAUUUGGAUAGUUGGAUGUUCAAUUAUAAAGUCGGUAUUUCGUUACGACAAGGAAUCAGCUGAGGGUUCUCAACUUGUAAUGCAGCGUCAUAAUGCGACCAUACUGUGUCAGAGUCAGGAUGGUAUGAAAUGGCGGCAAGUUAAACCAUUAAUCUUACACUUGUUUCCUUUUGAAGACAAUCAAGGUAUCAUUGUUAUUCAUUGAGUAAUUAACUUAUUUUUCAUAAGAGAGAGCUAGAAAACGCUUUAAUAAUUUCGCUGCUCAUUUGUUUGUUGUUUGUUUUUUAAAUACAUUGUUGGAUACGUUCGUUAACCAGAAAUCGUCGAAUCCGUGACGGGUCUCUUCAACAGGGGUGGGGUGCACUUGUCAUAAUUUGGAAAUAUUUUGUUUUUAUUCACUCUGCAAAACAAGCGUCAGUCCUUUUUAGCAGAAAAUUGUUAAGGCACAGCUUCUCAGGCAGGGUUUGCUUCGCUAUACUGGUGGCGGUUGUCAAGAAUUUUCCACGUUGUUCCAAAUUCUCGACAUGUGGCGGUUAGGUCAGCCUCCACCAGUAUAUCUUAACGUUGUGUAAUAAGAAGUUUGUUUGUUUCAAGUAUACUGUAUUAGGCCUCUGUUCACAGGGCCUCCACAUCUGCAUU